rnacentral:rRNA from 1 species
UGGGGAAUAUUGCACAAUGGGCGCAAGCCUGAUGCAGCGACGCCGCGUGGGGGAUGACGGCCUUCGGGUUGUAAACUCCUUUCGCUAGGGACGAAGCUUUUUGUGACGGUACCUAGAUAAGAAGCACCGGCUAACUACGUGCCAGCAGCCGCGGUAAUACGUAGGGUGCGAGCGUUGUCCGGAAUUACUGGGCGUAAAGGGCUCGUAGGUGGUUUGUCGCGUCGUCUGUGAAAUUCCGGGGCUUAACUCCGGGCGUGCAGGCGAUACGGGCAUAACUUGAGUACUGUAGGGGUAACUGGAAUUCCUGGUGUAGCGGUGAAAUGCGCAGAUAUCAGGAGGAACACCGAUGGCGAAGGCAGGUUACUGGGCAGUUACUGACGCUGAGGAGCGAAAUCAUGGGUAGCGAACAGG